rnacentral:rRNA from 1 species
AUGAACGCUGGCGGCGUGCUUAACACAUGCAAGUCGAACGGACGAUGAAGAGCUUGCUUUUCAAAGUUAGUGGCGGACGGGUGAGUAACGCGUGGGUAACCUGCCUCAUACAGGGGGAUAGCAGCUGGAAACGGCUGAUAAAACCGCAUAAGCGCACAGCAUCGCAUGAUGCAGUGUGAAAAACUCCGGUGGUAUGAGAUGGACCCGCGUCUGAUUAGCUAGUUGGUGAGGUAACGGCCCACCAAGGCGACGAUCAGUAGCCGGCCUGAGAGGGUGACCGGCCACAUUGGGACUGAGACACGGCCCAAACUCCUACGGGAGGCAGCAGUGGGGAAUAUUGCACAAUGGGGGAAACCCUGAUGCAGCGACGCCGCGUGAAGGAAGAAGUAUCUCGGUAUGUAAACUUCUAUCAGCAGGGAAGAUAAUGACGGUACCUGACUAAGAAGCCCCGGCUAACUACGUGCCAGCAGCCGCGGUAAUACGUAGGGGGCAAGCGUUAUCCGGAUUUACUGGGUGUAAAGGGAGCGUAGGCGGCGGAGCAAGUCAGAAGUGAAAGCCCGGGGCUCAACCCCGGGACGGCUUUUGAAACUGCCCUGCUUGAUUUCAGGAGAGGUAAGCGGAAUUCCUAGUGUAGCGGUGAAAUGCGUAGAUAUUAGGAGGAACACCAGUGGCGAAGGCGGCUUACUGGACUGACAAUGACGCUGAGGCUCGAAAGAGUGGGGAGCAAACAGGAUUAGAUACCCUGGUAGUCCACGCCGUAAACGAUGAGUGCUAAGUGUUAGGGGGUUUCCGCCCCUUAGUGCUGCAGCUAACGCAUUAAGCACUCCGCCUGGGGAGUACGACCGCAAGGUUGAAACUCAAAGGAAUUGACGGGGGCCCGCACAAGCAGUGGAGUAUGUGGUUUAAUUCGACGCAACGCGAAGAACCUUACCAGGGCUUGACAUAUAAGUGAAUAAUUAAGAGAUUAGUUAGCUCUUCGGAGCACUUAUACAGGUGGUGCAUGGUUGUCGUCAGCUCGUGUCGUGAGAUGUUGGGUUAAGUCCCGCAACGAGCGCAACCCCUAUGUUCAGUAGCCAGCAGGUAAAGCUGGGCACUCUGGACAGACUGCCGGGGAUAACCCGGAGGAAGGCGGGGAUGACGUCAAAUCAUCAUGCCCCUUACGGCCUGGGCUACACACGUGCUACAAUGGCGUAAACAAAGGGAAGCGAGAGGGUGACCUGGAGCGAAUCCCAAAAAUAACGUCCCAGUUCGGACUGUAGUCUGCAACCCGACUACACGAAGCUGGAAUCGCUAGUAAUCGCGAAUCAGCAUGUCGCGGUGAAUACGUUCCCGGGUCUUGUACACACCGCCCGUCACACCAUGGGAGUUGGAAAUGCCCGAAGUCAGUGACCUAACCGCAAGGGAGGAGCUGCCGAAGGUGGAGCCGAUGACUGGGGUG